ACUUUGGCAGUUUCUUCCCCCACUCACUCUUCUUCCCCGUUAUAAUUUCUUAUUCUUUAAACUAUUUUCAAACAUAGCUUAUGUUCAAAAUCCAUAUGUUUCAGGCAAAACAAUGGCUAUCUUUUUUUAAGAUUGCCUGGUGUUAUCCAUUUUUUGUGUUAUUUGCUCCUUUGUUUUUUUUUUUAUGGGAUUUUUCAGCUUUCCAUAUGGAACUGAUUCUAGAGAUAAGUUUCCUUAUCCCCUGAAAAUUGAAUAGGGAUGAUUCUCCCUUCAUCUCUGUACUUUCUUUUCUCUUCAAAAUGGCAAUUCCACUUGUACUGCUUGCAGUCCCCACCCGUCUUCAAAGCAAAUACUCCUCCAAGUUUUCAGAUUAAAGGACAGAUUCUAUGUGCUAGAAGAGGAAAUGAAGAUUGUCAAGUAGAUAAAAAGAGAAGAAAGAUUAUUGCUUUUUGUUGAUUAGAGUGGCCAGAAAGUGAAGCGAACAGUCGUGAUGCAGUAGUGGAGGAGGUAGAAGAAGAAAGGAAAAGGAAGCAAAAGAGGUGGCCAUUGAUGUUAGAUAAAUGUAGUAUUUUGUGGUCCAAAGGAUCUUGCUCUAAUACUAUGAAAACAAUAGAAGAAUUUGGAAGCUGGCGCGUCACCCCGGGUUAUCAAUCAAAAAACAAAAAAAAAACAAGAAGAAUUUGAUGCCUAUUGAAUACCAGUUCAUCACUUUAUUUAUUGA